rnacentral:rRNA from 1 species
AGUGAACGCUGGCGGUAGGCCUAACACAUGCAAGUCGAACGGCAGCACAGUAAGAGCUUGCUCUUACGGGUGGCGAGUGGCGGACGGGUGAGGAAUACAUCGGAAUCUACUUUUUCGUGGGGGAUAACGUAGGGAAACUUACGCUAAUACCGCAUACGACCUACGGGUGAAAGCAGUGGAUCUUCGGACCUUGCGCGAUUGAAUGAGCCGAUGUCGGAGUAGCUAGUUGGCGGGGUAAAGGCCCACCAAGGCGACGAUCCGUAGCUGGUCUGAGAGGAUGAUCAGCCACACUGGAACUGAGACACGGUCCAGAGUCCUACGGGAGGGAGCAGUGGGGAAUAUUGGACAAUGGGCGCAAGCCUGAUCCAGCCAUACCGCGUGGGUGAAGAAGGCCUUCGGGUUGUAAAGCCCUUUUGUUGGGAAAGAAAAGCAGCAGGUUAAUACCACGCUGUUCUGACGGUACUCAAAGAAUAAGCACCGGCUAACUUCGUG